CACAAAUGCACGCCUGGCAGAUGCCAGUUCUACGGAAGAGUUGGCUGGGGCUGGACUUGGUCCAACCCCACGUGAGUGCCUGGCCAAGACCAAGCUGGUGUCCAUCGGCUCCGUUUCAUCUCAGAGCUCAAGAAGUUGAUACUGUCACAGAUUACCUCAGGUUUUCCUGGAAACCUCAGCUCAUGAGCACCUACUGUGAGUCACCAGAUUGAUUUUCUAAAGUAUUACAUGAAUCCUGCAUGUCACUUUCACUGGUCUUCCACCACCUACAGUUUACUCACAGGAGGACCUAGAGAUUCUGCCUCUGCAAUUCACUGGCUGCCAACACAUACUCUAUCCCUUGAUAAGUUGCUGGGAGUGUGUGCUGGGGGUGAUAGGUGGGGGCUGGUCAGUAGGUAAGACCUGAUGAUGGUGUUGAGAGAUCUCUCUGGUGUAAAUACUCCACAGGGGCUAUCAUUUCAAGCUACCAUUGUGAUGUCACUGAACAUGAAACUGGGAAAAUGUGCUGCUUAUAAAAUAUUUUCACCAUAUGUAUACA